AAGAGGAAGAAAACCCUAAAACCCGAUACGAAUCAGCUCGGCUGCCCUUAACACCCGACGCCUUUCUUCGGCCCAAUUAACCCUUAUGUGGGCCUUGCUCGUCCCAUCAACAACAACAAGUUUAAUAUAUGUCCGUGUCAGAUCCAGCCAUCAAGAGAGAGAGAUGAAUCCGCCCCCGAGCGCGCGAUGACAACGCCACACCAAUCCCCGUCGCCUCCUCGCUCUUCCUCUCACAAAGACAGCAGCGGCUCUACCGCCCGUUGGCUUGAACAGCGGCGGAUGCACUCGCCGGCGCAUUGCAUCGACGACAACGGCAGUCCAAGCCCUGUGUUCCAUUGAGAUCAAACCCUGGUCAUGCAUCCAUCGUCGGACCACCUCACUCGCUGCCGUGCCUCCUCGCGACUCCACGCCGCACGCCACCGCAUCGUGCCCCUACAGACGCCGUGGUGGUUCCCCCUUCCGCCGGAGCCCUACCCGGGGCUGCCCUUGCACCGCUAGACCAGCGCCGCCGGUCCCAUGCAACUUAGUUUCUCACGUUCAAUGAGUGGAUGACCAGUGAUAAUAACAUGGUACAUUUGUAUAUAUAUGUUUUUCCAAUGUUUCUUGAUUCAUUAUUUAGUUUACUUGCUUGA